rnacentral:lncRNA from 1 species
GGAAGCACUCAUGCUACAGAUGAAGACUCUGAGGCCCAGAAAGGCGAAGUGAACUUACCAUGCAGCUGGUACAAACUCAGGAGGCCCUCUGUGACUGUGUUCUGAUGAAGACUGGUCCCUCUAGCUGGACAGUGGUGGCGCAUCCCUUUAAUCCCGGCACGCAGGAGGCAGAGGCAGGCAGAUCUCUGAGUUUGAGGCCAGCCUGGACUACAGAGCAAGUUUCAGGACAGCCAGAGCUACGCAGAGAAACCCUGAUUUUCACAGACAAACAAACCAGGCUUGGUGUAGAUCUCCAGUCCCAGCUACUCAGAAGCCUGGGGCAGAAGAACUGACAGCUCAAGGCUUUCUUGUUUUAUUCAGAUUGUUCAAAGCCAACUGGACAACUUGGUCAAUGAAACAAGAACAGCAAGAAAACUGGGGAGGUAGCUCAGGGGUAGAGCCCUUGCCUAGCCAGAGGCAAGUUCAGGCCCUGAUCUGGGCACAGCCUUCUAUGACCUCUGCUCUACUCUGACUACUAUAAGAUGAACGGAUUUUAGAUUCCACGUGAGAGUGAGUGACAGGAUGUGGAUUCUGUUUCUCUGCCUGGCUAAUUUCACUAAACAUAAAGCCCUCGAUUUCUCAUCGUGUUGCAGCUAAUGUCAGGCUUCCAUGUUUCUAUGACUGCAGAGCCUUCCUGUGUAUUUGAGUUCCACUCCUUUAUCCAUUCACCUGGCAGUGGGCCUCAUCAUGCCAGCACCACUAUGAAUAGUGUCAAGGCCAGUAUACUUUAAAAAAAAUAAAUGUCACUAGUUUCUAUAGGACCGUCUUUGUAGGUAUCAGGGACCAUUUAUCAUAAAUGGAGGUCUUUAUGACUUUUUUCUACUCUUUCUUGAGUAAAACUAUUUCUCCUCAAGAAACAAGCAACUGGGGAAGGGAA